rnacentral:rRNA from 1 species
UACGGAAGGCAGCAGUGGGGAAUAUUGCACAAUGGGCGAAAGCCUGAUGCAGCUAUGCCGCGUGUAUGAAGAAGGCCUUAGGGUUGUAAAGUACUUUCAUCGGGGAGGAAAAAACAAAACUAAUAAUUUUAUUUCUUGACGUUACCCGAAAAAGAAGCACCGGCUAACUCCGUGCCAGCAGCCGCGGUAAUACGGAGGGUGCUAGCGUUAAUCAGAAUUACUGGGCGUAAAGAGCACGUAGGUGGUUUUUUUAAGUCAGAUGUGAAAUCCCUGGGCUUAACCUAGGAACUGCAUUUUGAAGCUGAAAUACUAGAGUAUCGUAGAGGGAGGUAGAAUUCUAGGUGUAGCGGUGAAAUGCGUAGAUAUCUGGAGGAAUACCUGUGGCGAAAGCGGGCCUCCUAAACGAAUACUGACACUGAGGUGCGAAAGCGUGGGGAGCAAACAGGGAUUAGAUACC